rnacentral:rRNA from 1 species
GUCCACGCCCUAAACGAUGUCAACUGGUUGUUGGGAAUUCACUUUCUCAGUAACGAAGCUAACGCGUGAAGUUGACCGCCUGGGGGAGUACGGCCGCAAGGUUGAAACUCAAAGGAAUUGACGGGGACCCACACAAGCGGUGGAUGAUGUGGUUUAAUUCGAUGCAACGCGAAAAACCUUACCCACCUUUGACAUGUACGGAAUCCUUUAGAGAUAGAGGAGUGCUCGAAAGAGAGCUGUAACACAGGUGCUGCAUGGCUGUCGU